AGUGAACGCUGGCGGUAGGCCUAACACAUGCAAGUCGAACGGCAGCACAGUAAGAGCUUGCUCUUACGGGUGGCGAGUGGCGGACGGGUGAGGAAUACAUCGGAAUCUACUUUUUCGUGGGGGAUAACGUAGGGAAACUUACGCUAAUACCGCAUACGACCUACGGGUGAAAGCAGGGGAUCUUCGGACCUUGCGCGAUUGAAUGAGCCGAUGUCGGAUUAGCUAGUUGGCGGGGUAAAGGCCCACCAAGGCGACGAUCCGUAGCUGGUCUGGGAGGAUGAUCAGCCACACUGGAACUGAGACACGGUCCAGACUCCUACGGGAGGCAGCAGUGGGGAAUAUUGGACAAUGGGCGCAAGCCUGAUCCAGCCAUACCGCGUGGGUGAAGAAGGCCUUCGGGUUGUAAAGCCCUUUUGUUGGGAAAGAAAAGCAGCAGGUUAAUACCCCGCUGUUCUGACGGUACCCAAAGAAUAAACACCGGCUAACUUCGU
rnacentral:rRNA from 1 species